GGCAGGUACAUGGUUUUAUCCGGGGCUGAGACUUCUCUUGGGGUUUCCUUCCCACUUGUCUGGAAUUUGGGCUCACCCAGUACAAAGUGGGUCCCUUGUGGCCUAGAGGAUUAGAGAGCGAGGCAACCGGCUCCCCUUGAGCUGCUCCUGUGUGGGGCUGAAUAUCUCAAUCCCCCAAAUCAGACACACAUUCUGGCCCCUGCUGAUGUGGACAGUGGGAAGGAAUGUCACGGUUGGAGUGUGUCUAGGGCUCAGGGGUAAAGGAUUGAGCUGCAGGGUUAGUGUCUGUGAUAAGCAGUUUGGGAACCUACAGGCAAAUGCAUGCCGUUGGGUGUACUUCCACCCCCACCUUCAUUCUAGAUCCCAAACUUGACCAUGCAUCCCUUGAGGGCUGGCCCCAUGCUCCAUCCUAGACGGUUGGUCCCCAGCACCCAGCAGAGUGAUUGACAGGACCUGUACUUAUGCUGUCCAGCAUGGUGAGUGCCUAAAUCAAGAUGUACUAAGUGUAAAGUACACACUGACUUUGAAGACUUAGGGGUAAAGAAGAGAAAAUAUUACUAACUUUAUACUGAUUACAAGUUAGAAUAAUAUUUUGACACAUCAAGCUAAAUAAAACAUACAUUAAGAUUGAUGUUAUCAGUUUAUUUGAACUUUUAAAUGUGUGACUAUUCAGACAUUGUCCAUGACAUCUGUGCCUUGCGUUCUAUUUCUCUUGGACAUCUGUGGUCCAUUCUGCUCCCCUCUCCCUUCCUUUCUUGUUCCCCUUAACCUCUAACUAGACCACCAGUGCUCUUCUUCUAGGGUGUCUUCGGCUCUCCUCUGCAUUGGGUAUUUGUUGAGUCACUGGUCACACCUUCCAGAUGUGUUGCUCAUGUCAUUUAAACCAUAUCUGUAAUUGCACCCUUCCUCCUAGGACAAAGCUGUUCAGGCAGGAGCUGGGCUAUCCGUUUUAUGAACGUUAUGAUCUUCUUUGAACUGGUUUUCAUAACAGCCUGUGUAAUAGGCAUUGUUUUUCUUUCUUUUUCAAACAAAGAGACUGAGGCUCAGAGAGCUCUAAUAACUUGCCCCAAGUCAUCCACCUUGUCAGAGCUGCAGGGUCAGGACUUGAAACCCGGUGUGUGUGACUCACAGGGCAAGUUUUUCCCUCACCUAUAGCAUGAUAUUUCAGCUUUGCAUCAUUUGAAUCUACAGGGGUCUCCUGCAUUUGUCUGUGGCUUAUGGGGGAUCUCUAGAUCAUGCAGAGAACCAGCCUGUCUGAGACUUAGAAUACUUGGGUACAUUCUAGACCUAGCGUGGUCCCUGACUUAUUAAGUGGCCUAGGACAAGUAGUUUCUCAACUCUGUAAGACAAAGAGGACCUUUAGAGUUUGUGAUCUGAGGCUGCUGAGUGGGGAAUCCAACAACGACCAUGAUCUUGUAACUUAGUUUCUGAUUUUCUACAUUUGGAUUUAGAGGAAUUUUUAAAAAUAAGAAAUCAGAAAAGCGACCUCAGAACCUGAUUUCCUCAUGUUCUAGUAUCUGUUGAACGUGUUGAAUAGUAACCUCUUGGCAAAGUAGUCUGUGUUGCAUGGAUGGGCAGAAAACCUCAAGUUUAUUUUCAAGGAUUCUGGGCUUUUGAGAGAUGCCCACUCAGGAUGGUUUCUAGAGCAGUUUCAUCUGGGGCGUGUCCUUGGGAAUUGCGAUCUGGUAACACAGCUCCAACAACUGGAAACCCCAUUAUCUGUUUGGCAGAUCAGAGAAGAGGGCCAACUCCUUUCAUUAGCCUGCUUAUUAGUCCUUCCUGAACACUGUUUUCUAAAAGUGGCAUCAAAGCUGGGAUGCCCUUAGAAAUCCCCUCUUUAAGAUUCCGGGAGCCUUUUCAAAGCUGGAUGUACAAAGCAAAUCAGUCACGCCUGGGGCUCUUCUCUGCUGCUGCUUUGGUUAGUCUAUAGGCAAUUAAGGCCCCUAGACCUGCCCCCCCAACUCAGGCCAUACCCAUGGUUCUUUAUUUAGUGCCUGCUGAUUGCUGCUAAGAAGGCCCAGGAAGAUUAAUUUUCCAAACUAGUUGCUAUUUUUUGUUCCCAAUCCCUGGAGGGUAAAUAUAAGUGUUCUGAAGUAGUUAUUUCUCCUAAAUGGAUUUCAGACUGAAUAGUGAUUUUUAUUUGUUCAACUAGACUGGGCCAUAAAUUAAUUCACUACUAGUCUUUGAACCUUGAUGCUAAAAAAAAAAAAAUAGGUCAAGGAAUACAUCCUUUAUCUACCUCUCUUUGAAAUUUGGUUUUGCAGUUCAAAGGUGGGAUGGGGGGAAAGGACAGAAAACUGUCAGUAAGAAUUCAAAAACCUAUUUCUUGAUGCUUCUAUUAGCCACAGGGGCCUGCCCGUGGUUCAGUGCAUUCCACAGCUACCAGGCAAGAGCCCUUGCUCAACAUUGUGUGACUGGAAAUAAAAGGAAGGAAAAUAUUUUCUAUGAACAAAAGUCCUAUUGAGUUACUUCUAGGAAACAAACAAACUCUUUUAAAGAUCUUUCAACUUAUCAACAAUGGAUAUUAUAAAGGCAUUUGUGUUAUUUCAAAUUAAUUUAAUUCUGUGAAAAUUCAUAAGGCAGGGCCACUGGUGGGUGACCCAACCUUGCAGGCUGUAGUUUAGAUGGUUCUGUUUUGCUAAAGCUUGUAAUUUCUUGCCCCCCACCCGCUUCUGAAAGACCUAUAGGAGCUAUGUCUGACAAAACGAAGGCAAAAGUGACCUUAAUCCUAAUGAGUCUGUAUGGACUAGGAACAGUGUGGCACUUUCAAAAACUGCUGAGGACAUUUUAUGUGAAUUUUUUUUUUUUUUUUUUGGCACGAGGGCUACUGGGGAUUAAACCCAGGAGCACUUAACCACUGAGCCACAUCCCCAGCCCUUUUGAAAUAUUUUGUUUCACUGAGUUGCUUAGGGCUUCGCUAAAUUGCUGAGGCUGGCUUUGAAUUUACAGUCCUCCUGCCUCAGCCUCCCAAGACACUGGGAUUACAGGCGUAUGCCACGGAGCCCAACCAAUGUAAAUUUUUAACUGGAUCAAGAGCUUUUCAAGGUGGGGAGCAUAUAGUAGACACUCAAUAAAUGCUGAAUAAACAGGAUGUGCUGAGGACCCAGCUCUUUGCCUCCCUUCUUGCUGGGGCCUCUUGCCUGCGCCUAAGUCAGGGUUCUACCUCCCGGAAGGGCACAUGGCCCCCACAGCCUACUUGAUGGUCAGCAGGACCAGAAAUCUCCCUUUUAAAGGGCAAAGCAAUGUUCCUAUUUGGAUGCAAAGCUUGAGAUCCUAUGGAGCAAGUGUGGCAUGCUGCCCAGGGUGCAUUGGGUCUGCUAAGGAGGAUGGAAAGAGAGCUGUUGGUAGUGGGCACACACUUUCACUGUAGCUGAAGGUGCUGGGGGGGGCCUGGGCAGGUUUCUGGGGGGGGGUGUUAGAAUCUGGACGUUCUCCCUCCCUCUGAGUGAUCCAGCAAGGCCUUCGUAAGAGUAGUGCAAACAGAAAAAGACUAAUAAAAACUGGAGACUGUCCAGUGGGUGGUAGAGGGGUGAGCAAGACUAGGGUGUGUGGGACAGAAGAUCUGGGACUAGACCUCUGAGUCCUUGCUCAGGCAACAGAUUCUUUCUGAGCCACCAAAGACACCCUGACCUGCUCUCUUUCUUUCAUAACCUUGAUGACUAUUUUGGUUGUUGAUGUUUGUUUGUUUUUGGUACUGGGGAUUGAACCCAGGGGUGCUCUUACUUUACAAGGUAUAUAUCUUUAACAUCUAUUCUGCACACAGCUUUGAAUUUCAAAAGGAGCUAAACACCAGGUGACUCCAAGGAGGUUCAGGGGCUGGGUGCAUCAUAUUAGGGUGAUAUUUACAGGAAUGUGUUUUAAAAUGGAUAACCCUAGCUCAUCACAUACCAAAAGAGAUUCGUGGCGAAACAAAAAUAUAUAAACCAAACCCAGAUCCCUCACAAAGCCACUUGGCUGACCUCCAUUAAAAGUAGCAGGCACUACCAGAAAGAGGUCAGAGCAGCGAGAUGAAUUAUGAGCUUUGUUAGAUGCAAACAGAGAUGCUCAGGAAAUAGAAGGGAAAACCUAAGCAUUGGAAAAAAACAGCUUUAUGGUCAUGAGACAUUUUUUUCCAGGUAUGUCAGAGGCAGCUUCGAUGAUGCCCAGAUGACCUUUUGGAAGUUCCCAUCACUUCUCAUGCAUGCCUAUGAUCCCAGGGAUUUGGGGAGGUCAAGGCAGGAGGAUUUCUGUUUUGAGGCCAGCCUCAGCUACUAAUGGAGGCUCUAAACAACUUAAAGAGACCAUCUCAUAAUAAAAAAAAUAAAAAGGGCUGGGGAUGUAGCUUAGUGGUAGAGAUCCUCUGGGUUCAAUCCCCAGUACCUAAAACAAAUAAAAAAAAUUGAAACCAAAUUUUACUUUCUGAAGCUGCUGUUAUCUCAGUACAGGAGCUCAGAGCUCUCAACACCAGGGCCUGACAAUCCCCAGGGAGGCCAGUAUCUCAACAGUGUUCUUUCUCUCCUUUUUUUUAAAUAUCUUUAUUUUAUUUAUUUAUUUUUAUGUGGUGCUGAGGAUCGAACCCAGGGCCUCACAUGUGUGAGGCAAGCACUCUGCCUCUGAGCCACAACCCCAGCCCCCUCGCCCCCACAGCGUUCUCUCUUUACCUUGUUUUCUCUCCUCUUUUUUCCUUUUAACACAAUAUACAUCCACUGUAGAAAAAUGAGAAGACACAUAGAAGUGAUGGGGAAGAAUAAAAAAAAAUCAUCAGGAGUCUCCCCACUCAGAGAUAAUUAUUGCUCACAUUUUUGGUAAUUACUUUUUCAUGAUGUGGACCGGGAAAGAUGGCCAUUAUCUCUUGGCUAUGUGGGGAAGGAGAUAGAGCAUCCGCAGGCAGAGACGCAGCUAGCGUGUUUAUUUUAAUGAAGUAGAUUUGCAUUCUGUUGUUUUUACUCAACAGUAUGGUAUGAAGAUCUUUCCCUGUAGAUUAAUCUGUCUCCACAGAUACCUUAAUGGUUAAGUCAUACAUAUUUAAUCUUAUGAUGUCCCACAAUUUACUUAACAAUCCACUAUUACUGAGUUUUAAGAUUGUUUCUUAAUUGUUGCUUUAGUUAAUGACAGACCAGUCACCUGCCCUGCACCUGGAUCUUUGUACCUACAUCCUUGACUAUUUCAUCAGGAUUAAUUUCCCCAGGGAGUUACUGGCUCAGAGGAGCCUGGACAUUCCUUUUAAUACCCUCAAAUGACCCUUCAGAAAGAUUGCAACAAUCUGCCUUCUUGCUAGAUGGUGUCCGUCCCCAGAACACAGUCAUGAUGAGCAUCUUAAUUAUUUUUUAAAUGAUUUCAAAUCAUUUUAAUUUAAUUUCUUUGAUCGUUAGUGAGAUGAAACUGUUUUUAAUAUGUUAUAUAUCUGCCCAUGGGAAAAUGUCACCGAGCAGGUGCAAAAUCAGGCCAGAGCACCAGUGUGUGAUGACAGCUUCAUGGGGAAGACAGACAACAGGUGGCAGGUUACAGCUCUGUGGGACAGGCCAUGAUUGAAGGUGUUGUGUGAGAUCUUUGCCGAGACCUGGGAUGGAGCAGAAGGGUUUCUGGAGAGGGGACAUCUCAGCUUAGUCCUAGGAGAAGGGAGACUAGGAGAUACCCAGGUGAAGAGCCAAGGAACAGCGUCCUUGGGGGUGGGGGGGUCCAGGGAAAGAUAAGGUAAGGAUGGGGUACUGAGAACUGUAAGAAGCUCAAGUUGGUGAAUGCAUACGGUGUAAAAGAAUCUGCUUAAGAAAUUAGACAGGGAGCUGGGCAGGAUUCAAGUCCCCAGUGCCUGGGUAAAGCAUCUGGACUCUGUCCUGGGCGCCUGAGAGACACUGACCACUGUGAGGCAGAGUCAUGCACAAUCACAACAUGCAGGAGGCCAGGUGCAUGUGAAAGACAAUGGGAUGCUUCUCUCUGUGGAUGCUUCUUGCCCCAGAUGCUGUUUAAUGCCCCAUGAGAAGGUGCAGGGCCUAGGUCAGCCCUCCCGGCACUUUAGCAAGGAGGCAUACCCUUGUUCAAGAAGAAUCUUUUCAAAUUAUUAAACUAUGUACUUCUAAGUAAUAACAAAGCAAAUGCACGUUGAUUCCACACAAAUGAGAUUAUUGAGCCUCAAACCAGAAAAUUCAUGGUUUUAGUUGCAACAAGCAGGAACUCAAAAAUCUCUGAGAUUUAACAGUUUGCGGUAAGAUGUUUUCAGUCAUCAAAUAAUUCUUAUGAAAACAAAAUUUUCUGUGGCCAUUAGAACACUUGCUUGUUCUAGUAUCUUAUUUUCUCUAGAAAUGGGGGGCUGGCAUUCAUAAGAUUUCAUGGGCUGUUGUAGAUACAGAGCUUUUACAAAUUGCAAAUGUGAGAAGCUACAGUUUCAAGUGCUGGUUGGUGCUAUGAAGGGUAAUGUAUCCUGAGAGCGACAAGAGUUUGAGUAAAUGUGUCCAGUGUAUUAUUACUGCAUAUAAAUUGAGGGAUCUCAUGGGAGCCAACUGAUCUUCUGGAAAGCGACCUAAGGGUUUUUCCUCCUCUUUCACAGUGUUCUGCAAUGACACUCUUCCUGCCAUGUCCCACAUUUUAAUCUUAUUUCCAGUGGUUGCAGAAGUUCAGGUUUAUCAAAAUUUUUCAAGUUAUACAUACCAUCCAGAAUAUUGAAAAGGCCAUAAUAUUCUUUGGCUAUCACAUUUUUUAAAAAAGAAAUAUCAUUGCUUCCAGAGAAAACAAGGUGAUUCUGAUAUGGACCUUUGGAUUGUAGAAGGAUUGAUCAUGUAAAUCCCAGUUAAAAUGAGUCUUCUCUUUCUUUUUUCUAGUAUUUUCUGUUUUGGAGAAGCUGGCAUUAAUGUCAGGAGAUUACCACUUAUUUAGUAUGAACAGCAUGUAAUUCAGAAACAUUUUAUCAACUGGGUAAAACAUUUUUCCCUUAAUAGUUUUUUAAUUGUAUAUUUUCAAGAUAUUUUGAAAAUAUAUUUAUCAAGAUAUAUUUUCAAGAUCAAUGCUGCACAUUAACUUUCAAUUUUUGCUUAAUUUAACAUUUGUGUCUUUACAAAUUUUACUUAAAGUAUCAUGCCAAAUUAGUGGCAAGAAAACAUUUAUUUAGAAAACAUAUUAUUUUCACAUAUUUCAAAAGUGUAGCUUUGGCUUGUGUCCAAAAAUCUAUAAACUAAUUAGAAUCAGUGAUUUCUAAAAGAAUGUUCCAUUGGCUUCUCAUUGAUGUUUUGGGGUCACAAAGGUUUCAAAUUGAUUUUUCUUCAUGUAUUUGAUAGCAGUCUCAGUUUUAUCUUCUGUUCUUCUGUUUUCAAUGCUCAAUGUUUUGCUAAAGUCAAACUGUUCUUGGCAGAAUAGAAUUCAGUGACUUUGAAAGAACUUUCUUGAUAUAUUGUUCUCUGCAAGUUUAAAGAAUGAGCAGCCUUGGGCUCAUUUGGGAGCAUAUUUUGAAAUCCAUUAAAAUUGUUAUAAAUUCUUUUUCAUCAUUUCUGUCUCUCUGCUCUGCCAAUGAUUAGAGCUUGGAAUUAGUCUUUUUGUUGUUGGUGAUUAUCCCCUGAAAAACUGUAUAAUCUUACUCCAACUGUAUCAUUUGCUGUGGAAAAAAAAUUUUUAAUGUUUACUUAUUUUGAAAAUCUCAUUUGGAAAAUUGACAAACCCCCCAAAUACCAGUUACAUGGACCUACAACCCUAGCACACAUGCCUCAUGAGUGAUAUUUUCCAUUUCUUACCACAUUCAAAAUGAUGUCAGUCAAUAAAUCUGCUGAAUUUUAACGAUUUGAUUUCAAUUUUCAUCUGCCAAAUUAUGUGUAAAUGUUAUUUGGUGUGUAUAGCUGUACUCUGAGUCCAUGUUCGGCCACAACACUAUGAAUCUCCUACAAUUUCUGUAAAUGAAGAAAAUUCCUGUUAGACUGCUCAUACUUCUUCUCGAAUGAGCUUUUGAAGCCUAGAUGUUGUCAUGCCAAAAAGAGAAUCGUGUGUGUGUGUGUGUAUGUGUAACUCAACAGCACACCAACAUUUUCCUCAUCAUGUAGAAUCCAUUAUUGCAGCAUUAAUAAUUAUAUGUUUUCAAAUCUGGAAGCUCAAAUGCUUAGCAUUUCUAUUGAUGUUUAUUUCAGAUUCUUCAUAUUUAUUUUUUUUAAAAUGAGGGGAUGCUACAUCCCCCCAAAACUUUACCUUCUUUCUCAUUUUCCUUUUGAUUUUUCCUUCUCAAAGAGCUGGCAAAGUCUGGAAUCCUUUGAAGUGUAGUAAAACAACCAGCAUCUAGUGCUUAGUUCUUCUACCAUUGGGGAAAAAAAAAAAAUUGUAUCCCUUAUAUUUCCAAAAACUUCCAAUCUAUGUUAUCUUCUGUAAAGGAAAAAUUUCUUACUGAAGGUGGAUGAUUUUCUUUUUUGGGGUACCAGGGAUUGAACUCAGGGGCAUUCAACCACUGAGCCACAUCCCCAGCCCUGUUUUUUAUUUUAUUUAGAGACAGGGUCUCACUGAGUUGCUUAGUGCCUCACUUUUGCUGAGGCUGACUUUGAAUUCGUGAUCCUCCUGCCUCAGCCUCCUGAGCCGCUGGGAUUUACAGGCAUGCAUCUCUGCGCCCAGCUUUGAAGAUAGAUAAUUUUCAACAAAAGCACAUCACUGUUACUUAUUCAAACUACAGGGCCAUGUAUUUGGAUUCUUUGCAUUUUAUAAAUGCCAUUUUUUCUUGAAAUUCAUCAAUUAUGUUUGACUGUGGAGCUAAGAGGUGAGUUAACAUCUUGCUCACAUUUCUGUGAUACAAAUAACUCUGAAACUCGAUUUUCUUUCGGUAUUCCACCUUUCCCCCCACCCUCAAAAUUUGUCCAACAAUCCAAAUAUUUGAUUUUAUUUCUUCUCUAGACAGUUUUUUCAUUUUCUGGUUUGGGUUCAAUUUUUUUUCUUUUCAGUAUCUUGGGAGACAUGACAUAUUAGUUUACUGAAUAUUAAGUAAGUAUUAUUAAAAUGUAUAAGUAACUUAUUUUGGAAUUUAUAAUUUUAAAAAUAAUGGAUGAUAAGCCAUGAAAUUUUAUCAGUGGUCAAUUUUUAUUGCCAAGAAAUUUCCUUUAGCAAUCCUUAAAUAAUAGCUAAGUUGUAAUUAGCAGUUCAUUAUAUAGUACUUUCUAAUUUAUGAGUAUAAAAUGCUUUGCAGAUAUACAAUGGCACAUGAACAUUAAUUACUAUAAAAGUAAGUUAUGCUAUAAUGAAAAUCUUACAGAACUUAAUUUGGAGCUCAGAGCCACCAUUCAAGUGGACAAUAUGAAUUAUAAUGCAAAACUUCAAAUUUAAUCAAUACAUAAUUACUAGUAGGUUUUUUUGUAACCCUUAAAUGAAAAUCAAAACAACAGUUAGAAAGCAACUCCUUGGUUGGAAGCACUAAUUAUUUUAGCACUAUUUAUUUAAACCAACAAGGUCUGGUUCAACUCAUUCUGCUUCAACUUACAAAGCAAGAAAAUGUCAACCACUUUAGAAAAAGUCUAUUUGCUUCUGUCAGAAAACUGUCAUAAUAAAUGGAUUUUGUUAAUAAGGCAUUAUAUUGUCAUUUACCAGAAAAUCAUUGUAAUAAAAAUAUAAAUCAUCUACCUUUGUAGUCACCAGUUAAACAAAAAUGGAAACAAAAUUCAAGAUAAUGAUGUCUACAAUGUAAAUAGUCCCCUUAGAUGUUGUGCUCUUGAGCAAUAAACAACCUGAACAACCAUCCAUAGCUGUUCUAUGCCCGUGUGCCACCACAGUCAAUACAGUGCUUCCACAUACGCAGGAACAGGGAAUAGACCAUAGUCUCUGGGAUGGUGAGGUCUGUGUUGGGAUGCUGCUCUUGCUGUUUGCUGACUGUGACCCUGAGCAACUCUCCUAAGACUCAGACACCUCAGCUACAAAUGGGGAUAAAUACUCCAAAUCCUUCUAACUGCUACCUGGAGGUCACAUGAGAUACCCCCAGUUGAGUAGCAAAUGAGAUCAUGAGAUGGGCAUAAGGAUUGACAUUUGUUAAAAAUGUGCUUGCUUUCUGGAAAACAAACAAACAAAAACUAUUAUGUUUUUAAAUCAAAUCAAAACAUGCACAGAGCCAGUGAAGGAUGGUAAUUCCUGGUCUCUGUUAAAUCACCUGAAGACAGCUGCUGGCUUCAGAUGGCCCCUGGUGGACCUUUGAAGGAGCCCACGAGGCUGACACUUGCAUUUUCUUAGGAAGCCAAACGUUAAGGCAAUAGUUUGCUGUUUGCGAAUAAGCUACUAUGCCACCUGAAAAUCUCCAAGUGAUCUUUAAAGCAACCCCUACCAACAAAUGGCUCCGUAAGCAACUUCAAGAGGAUGUGGGGUUUCUAUUUUGAGAAAUGAAAAAUUGCAAUAACAACCAGAAAGACCUUUAAAGUCCCAGAAAUGAUAAGAGUGUUUACUUCAGAGGAACCCAGAGGAAAUGAGCGGGCAUUCACCUUCUCCUCUGCCCCUGCGGGCUCCGCUUGAUCACAGUUGUGCAUCUGUGGCCAACCCGGGGACACCAGAAGGGAGUCUCCCAUCUUUCAUUCAUUCAUCAAGCAUUUAUUGAGGGGCUACUGUGUCCCAGGCACUGGCCUAGAUGCCGGGGAGAAAAGUCAAAUCGGACAUGGUCUCAGUCCACAAGGUUUUGAAGUCGAGUUGGUGAACCACCUUUGGCACACUCUGUCUUCCCAGGUUCUGUCCCUCCUUCUCUUUUCAUCCUGGGUGACAACCUUCCCUUCACCCCCAGGUGCCAGAGCUCCAUCUCUUACUAAUGAUUUCAGAUGUGCACUGAAGGGGAAAUGACAGCUUGUUCCAUUUACCGUGCCUUUGCCCUUCUUCUGGCUGGCACCCUCUCACCUGGAAUGCCCAUAGCUUGGGCACAAGUGCCACGUCUCCCAUGCAGCCUUCUCAUCACCCAGGUGAGAAACGACGUGCCCUUCCUCUCCGAUCCCAUAGCCUUUCUUUGCACAUCUUCUCAGCACUGGCUGCCCACCUACCUUCUGUUACAUCUGCUGGGGUCGGACGGAGAUCUUCUCUGCGGGACCAGGGUGGGUGUGGGCAUGGGAUGGGCACUUGGAAUCCCAUGCCCCGACUCAGUUUGUCUCACCCGUGUACCCUGUCUCACGCUCCUGGGAACACACCAUAUACAAAAACAAGUGUGGCUGGGUUGGAUUUCUCUUCUUUGAUUUUAGAAUUAGAAUUAGAUUGAGCAAUCUCCUUAAUUGGUGGCCCUCUGCCGUCCUGGGAGCCUGCACAGUUCUUAUGUUCUAUUUCCUUAAUGUUUUUUAGUUUUCUUGGUUCUUUAGACCCAUCUCACGCCUGUCAUGGACACCAGCUCAUAUUAUUUUUCUAUUUGUCUUCCACAAUGUUUUUCACACACACACGGAAGCUUGAGAGGUGCCUGGUAUUGUUGGAACUGAGUUUGCCUUUUGGCUAAAGGGAAAAACAACAACAACAACAAAAAAAAAAACCCAAAACAACAACAACAACAAAAAAGCCACUUUCAUUAAAAUUUUAGGCACCAGUAGCUAUUAAGGAGGGAUUCUGGGAAGGUGGCACUUGCAGUCACAGCAGGAGGGGUUUAGCAGCUUGGUCUGGCGAACAACUUCUCUUUCUUCUCCAGGAUCUCCCAGCUCAGGGUUAUGCUCUCCCCACACUUGGGCUCUGUCCCCUUGGCAGAGCCUGUCUACACAGGCUGUGACCCUGAAGAGUUCUCACUUCCAAGAGAUGACUGUCCUCUUUGACACACACUGCUGAGGACACCAUUUCUGUUUCUCCUGUGUCUCUUAGCUGUCACCCUCAAAGGACCUCUCUCUUGGCAAAAUGCUCCCCUCUUUCCCAAUGGUGAAGAAAUGUCUUAAGCAGGUGCGAUGGUGCACACCCGUAAUCCCAGCAACUCUGGAGGCUGAGACAGGAGGAUCAUGAGUUUAAAGCCAGCCUCAGCAAAAGCAAGGUGCUAAGCAACUCAGCGAGACCCUGUCUCUAAAUAAAAUAUAAAAAAGGGCUGGGAAUGUGGCUCAAUGGUUAAGCACCCCUGCUUCAAUCCCUGGUACAAAAAAAGAAAUGUCUUGGGUCUUUAGGCCAGCAGUUCUCAAACUCUUGGUCUCUGGACCUCUAUACACUCUUAAAAAUUAUUAGGGAAUCCAAAGAGCUAUGUUUUAUGUGUUCAUAUCUACAUAGUCUAUACAUAUUAGAAUUUAAAACAAAGAAAAACUUAAAGUAUUUACUUAAUCCAUCUAAAAAUAGUUCUAAAAUAUUACAUCCUAACAUAUUUUUGAAGAAUAACUGUAUUUUCUAAAACAUGACAGCUUUGGAGAGGAGAAGAGCCACGUUUGAUGUGUUUGAAAAUCUUAUUAUCAAUACCCAUCUUGAUUAAAGAGAGCUGAGACCUGCCUUUGCAUUCUGUCUCUUCCCAUGCCACAUGUCGGGGAGCCUUUGGAGAAUUUCACUGCAUAUUAGAGAGAAGGACAAGAGUGAAAACGGCAGCUGGCCUCACGGUGCUCUUGUGGAAAUGGUUUUGACCUAACCAACCCUCUGCAAGGGUCUCUUGUUCUCCAGACCACACUUUGAGAACUGCCCCUGAGAACCAGUUUUGUAAUGGUGAGGCCAUUCCCUGUUCAUCCUUCCGACCUGGGAUUUAGACAGGCUAGAGCUGGGACUCAGUGAUCUUGCUUGGAGUAUUUGGAAGCAUCUGUGUCCUUGAAGAUUUAUGCCACCUGCAGCAGCAUCCGGAGAGAGUCGAGGAUGCUCUGUUGCUGAAGGCGUUGGAUUCCCCACAGAGGGAGGCCUUCAGAGGAGCUGGCAGUUCAGUUCAAUGUCUUCACUGAUCUCAAAUCUUAAUUUUUUGAAUUUUAUCAAUAGCCAGAGGCCAUUCAGAGUGAAAUCUAGUUGAUACGUAUAUCAAAUUGGGUAACACUGCAUUUUGGAUUUUUUUUUUAAGUAAAACUGACUUCUUAAAGGACUGCAAAUCUACUUUCAUGACCAUUCCCCUAAUUCCACUCAUAUAUUCACAUGGGUGGACAAUGUUUCUUUUAGUAAUAGCACCGUUAUUGGAAGAAUAAAAAUUGGAAACAAUCUCAAUGUUUCACUACAAGGAAACCAGUUGCAUAAACGGUGGGCAUCCAUAGAUAGCCCACUGUGAAGCCAAAAAGCAGAACAAGAAGGUUCUGUGUGCAUGUUGAUAAUAAAUUAGCUAAAUAUGUUAAAUGAAAUAGUAAAACAGAAGAAAUGUAUAUGAUAUGCUAUCAUCUAUAUAAAAAAAACAUAGUGUGUGUGUAUGUGUGUGUGUGUGUAUGUGUGUGUGUGUGUAUGUGUGUGUGUGUGUGUGUCUAUGUCUUCGCUCCUGUGUGAAUAAAUGAACUGGCCAUGCUGGUUGCCUCCAGGACUGGGAACUAGCUAACUGGGGUCAAGGGCAAAAGAACAGCUUUUUCAGGAGUCUCUUCUGUCUUUGAAUGUUGCCUGAUGAAACAAAAAUUGUAAACACCUCCCCUAAACUGAAAAUUAAAUGAAAAUAAUUUUUAAGAAAAUUAAAAAUAGGGCUGGGGAUGUGGCUCAAGCGGUAGCGUGCUCGCCUGGCAUGCGUGCGGCCCGGGUUCGAUCCUCAGCACCACAUACAAACAAAGAUGUUGUGUCUGCAGAGAACUAAAAAAUAAAUAUUAAAAAAAUAUUCUCUCUCUCUCUUUAAAAAAAAAAGAAAAUUAAAAAUAAUUUUCAGAGAAUUAAAAAAGAACAACAAUUUCUAACACUUAGAAAAGCUGUUCUCUGGAGAGAGUUCUUAUUCCCUGGGCCGCAGCAUGGCCGAGGGAGGGACAGGGCAUACCACACAGCAGGUGGAGGGGGACUGCCGAACAAUGAGAUGCAGCUGUGGAAAGAACUAGCCAUUUCUUAGCCUUGCCUUCUUCCUCCUCUCAGCCUUGCCUUGUUUCACAAAUAAGGAAAACAGAGUCCAAGCUGUUAAGUGACUCAUCCUGGGCUCCGGGGCUCUUGUUCCAGCCCUUGCCCUCUUUGAGGGGGGGAUUUUCCAAUUGCUCCUGCAGAUCCCUCCUCAGAGAUACAGAAGGUGCUAUAUCCUCUUUCCUUUGGUCUUACAUAUAUCUCUUCUCGCUUCUCAACCUAAGCAGGGGCUGGAGGACCAAGCAGGGAGAGUACCGGUGACAGUGGCUGUAGGACAUUUGAACCUCAGCCACCCACACCUGGGCAGGGCGCCCUCCUCCAGGCUCCCCUGGCAUUUCGUAGACAUAUCUCCCCUUUUUCUGAAAUCCCCAUUGCCCAGUGCAGCUUCUUUUUUUUAUCUUGUUUUUAGUUGUAGAUGGACACAAUACCUUUGUUUCGUUUUGUUUAUUUUUAUGUGGUGCUGAGGAUCGAACCCAGGACCUCAUGCAUGCGAGGCAAGCGCUCUACCACUGAGCCACAACCCCAGCCCUAGUUCAGCUUCUUUAUCAUAGAACUUGAUGGGUUCUGAUGACGUUGUGUCGUUUCCAAUCGACUUCCCCUCCAAAGAAUACAGAUUUGCCAUCCGCUGAGAGAUCUAGAAGUCUGGGGUACAGGCUUUCCAAGAUCCAGCAGAGGCUGGAUGACCCUGGUCAGGUGGCCAUCAAGUCAUCCUUGGUGAUCACUCAUUUAUUCAUUCAACAAAUAUGAACCCAACCUAUUCACCACCAGAGGCAUGUUUCUAGCCACUGGGGAUGUUGUAAGGCCCAAACCAAUAAGGCUUUCAUUCCUGUGGAGCUUACAUUCUUUGCCAGGGAGAAAGACAGUAAUCAAGUCAACAGACAAAAGGACUGAGGUAGCUCAGACACCAUUGAUAAGAGGGUGAUGUAACCGACAGGAUGCAGAGCCAACUCUGACCAUGUGCUUGCUCAUUAAGAGAGAGAAGCCAUCUCCAAGCCCUCACCUCCGGUCCAAAGGUGAGAGUCAAACAUUCUCCCCACUCACCAGGUUGCCAUGGAGGAAUGAAAGACAUGGAGAAGAGGUGCCAGCUCUCUGGGGUCCCGUGUCUGCCAGCUGUUGCUAAAUACCUCGAAGAACUUCUGCUUCCAGAGCCAUCUGUCCCAGGAACCUCAGAACCUGGGACAAGAACUCACUGAAGGGUCGGUCCCCUGGGGGAGAUGAAUUGGACCAACUCUAGGUUCCAGGACUCCAGAACCAGCAACACCUCCCUAUACAAGCCCACCCUGUUGCUCAGCUCAGGUAAAACUAGCCCAAGGCAAGAUGGUUGUUACUGACUGUUCAAUAAUAGGCUGAUCAUUUAGUUCUUAAACAACUUUAUGUGGUAGGUAUUCGUAUUAUGUCCAUUUCACAGAUGAAGAAACUGAGGCCCAGAGAGGUUAAGUGACUGUCUUUAAACCACACAGUUAGACGUUCUUGAGACCCAGGGCACUGGAGUCAACAUCAGUCUCCUUCCUGACCUCCUCCUUCAUGCUUGUUUCUCUUUACCCACCUUCCUUUGCCUUUCUAGAAUGGCUGUUGGCCUCUCUGCCCUGGAUGGGCAUCUUCAUGCUGUCUCUUCUCUUCAUGGUAAACAGAUGUAUCCAGCUCAGACAAUUGCCCUCAACUGUGACCCAAGUUCCCUUCUCCUCGCUCUGGCAUCGUGUGUGUCUGUCAUCCCAUUCCAUUCUCCCUCCACUGUGUCCUGUGACUUGUCUGAUCUUGGGUGAUUCGCCCCUUAUGACUGCCACUAGGAAGAUCUGGUCCCCAGGCCCCCUCUGUACCCUCCACCUGGGAGAUGGGCAGGAACUGCUGCAGGGAACUGGGAAGGCCAAUGUGUCAGGGUGAAGGGCAGAGAGAAAAGGAGAUGCUGAGGUGUCCAGUGUGGUUCCCUCUGUCCUAGGGACCCCGAGAAGCUGUCAUUCUUGGAGUUUGUGACUGCAGAUUAGAUUGCCCUAAAUCCAAUAUGUCCCCUCCACCUUGGUAACUGUCUCUGCACCAGUGUCUGAGUAGCCAGAGGGUGCUCCCUGCUGUGAGAGCUGGAUCUCACAGCUCCACUUUAUAGGGAAAGAAGCCGGGAGGGCCUGAAUGCACAGAUAGAGAGCUUUGGUCUUAGAGUUAAAAAUAUGGGUUCAAGUCCUGGUGGUGGAGCUUCUCUUGGGCAAGUGUCUUUCUCAGAGUUUCUACAGCUGUACAGUCAGAGGUUUUCAAGAUUCCUCCCAACUCUGAGAAUCUAGGGACAGAUCCUGGUUGGGGGAGGGAGGGACUUAGUGUCUCAUUCCUCAGGCAGGGGAAAUUCUUUUACAAUGCAAAUAAUUCUCCCCUUCCUCACCAGAGCAUGGGCCGACUCUCAUGCCCACUACCUCUUCCUGGUCUCUGUCUGACUUGCUGGUGUCCUGAUCCCUUUCAAACCCUUCACACGCCCUUCCCAUAUACCUAUCACCUUCAUCAUCCUGUUUGUUUUUUUUUCCCCUGGACACCCUAACAUAUCUCUGGUUAUCCUAUCCAUUCUUAAAUGGCAGAAGUCAGGGGUGAAAUGAUCACACGGAGGCAGCAGAAGUUCCUGCAUAUGAACAUGAAUUUGCAGUCAGUGAGAGAUGAAUUCAAGUUCAAACUCUGUGGCCUUGUGCAAGGCAGAUGCAUACGAGUUGGUUUCUUUACUGUAAAAAGGGAAUCAUGAUUGGUCCUACCUCAUGUCUGUUAUGAAAAUUAAAUGAGAUAAUGAAUGUGCCUGGCAUAUAUCAAGCCCUGGAUGAAUGGAAGUUAACAUUAUCCUUUUGGAUCCUAUAAAGUGCAUUUGCAUGUGCGGGUAAGGAUCACUCUCAGCUCUCCUUUCCUCUUCCUCUCCUUCCCUUUCUGCAGAGGAUGUCACCACCAUGGGGCCAGAG
rnacentral:lncRNA from 1 species